GCUUGCGCUAAACCAGCUUGUCGGCGCCAUUUUGUCUCGGCAGCGGUGGCCGUAGCUCCAUCGCAUUUUAUGUUUCUGGCGAGAAGGGAACGGAGUUUUCAUCAGGUAGAUUGGUUUUUGUGCGGCCGUCCUCCACCGUUUCCUCCAGGACAGCACCUAGUCGUGGCCGGAGGAGUCUCAGAGCUGUCAGAAAGAAUAAGACUGAUUUUAUGGGAAAAUUAAGCAGAUGCUCCAGUUUGAGAAACCUGGAUCUGCGAUCUGUUUGUGAGGUGAAGAAGAAAGAAAAUGAAACAUACUCAAGAUUUAAGAAAGAGGGAACGAGCAGUACCAUUCACUGAUUUGGCAAGUCAAGAAAAGCCACUGAGUGGUAUUCAGUUAAGAGAACAAUUAUUUCGUAUAAGCCACAUCAGAGACGACUGAAGAUGAAAAAACUACCAUCCCCGUAUAUAACUAAUUUGUGCUGUGCACCAACAAGAACCUGCUUUAAAUUUCCAUGGCAAUUUACAACCCCCAUACUGUACCAGGCAAGGUACCAGCAUCAAGAUGAUUUAUGGUAAUAAGAUAUAAAACCAAGGAAAAUAACCUAAAGUCUGAAAAAGACCAGAAUCGAAGUUUCCUGAUUCAUAUUUUAAUGUUUUGAAAUUUAUACUCCAGGCUGGGUGCAGUGGCUUGUGCCUGUAAUCCCAGCACUUUGGGAGGCCGAGGCGGCCGGAUUGCCUGAAGUCAGAAGUUCGAGACCAGCCUGACCAACAUGGUGAAACCCUGUCUCUACUUAAAAAUACAAAAGAGCUGGGCAUGGAGGUGGUGCGCGCCUGUAACCCUAGCUACUCGGGAGGCUGAGGCCUAAGAAUCUCUUGAACCCAGGAGGCAGAGGUUGUAGUGAGCCGGGAUCACGCCACUGCACUCUAGCCUGGGCGACAGAGAGAGAGACUGUCUAAAAAAGGAAAAGAAAAAAAUUUAUACGCCAAAAAAGAUAUUCUGAGAUAACCUGUAGUUACCACUAACUUUGUGACAAAAUUAUAAAAAUCCACAGCCAUCUAUGAAUCUGUAGGCAGACCUGAAGUUUGAACGACUGGUGAAGACAUCUGAUUUUCUUUAUAGCCAAGUUAGGAUAACAAAAUGCAAACAAGUCAUUAAUAUUUACUAUAUGCAAGAUACAGAAAGAUGAAGGAAGGAGUAAGAAGUUAUCCUUCGUGGAACUAUUCAAAGCAAAAAUGCAAAAUACCAGGGAAAGCUUUGAAGAACCAAGAUUUGAGCAGGUUCUUAGAAUAUAGAUUGGAUUGGAUUUGAUUUCAAGAAAGAUGAACGUGUAAAGCAGAAGUGGGAAGCCAAAAACUUUUUUCCAAAUUAGAAUUAAGCAUUCUUUCAAUGAACAUUUGGAAAUCAAGGUAGAAAAAUAUCCCUAGGGCCUAGCUGAGGAGUCUGUAUGUUGUUGGGUUUUGAUAGUAACCAGUCCAAGAUUUUGUUAUUAGACGUGGGUUUCUGAAUAGACAGGCAUUUCUGAACAGACAUGACAGGAUCAAAACAAUGUUUGAGCAAACUGCCCUUCAUCUACUGUGGAUAUGUUGGGGGAUGAUGGAAUAUAGUGAAAGAUAAUGGGUGCUCAUACAGCAGUCUAGACUUAAGGUGAUUCAACUACUAUAUAUUAAACUAGAUUAUCUUUUAUUUUUUAAUUUUGAAAUCUGGAUGCUCAAGCUCUGCCUGCACAACCACAUGAGGAAGAAGGAACAAUGACAACAAAAAUAACACUAAAUUUAAAUUUAAGAGUACUACUUUUAGGAAAUAGACAAACCAUUAUUUGGGUACAACUAAAGGCAACUGGCAUGGACUCAAAUAUUUUGGGGAAGAAAAAGACUAAAAGUUCUAAGGAAGAAAAUGCGAACCUUGAUAGUUUGAAAUAGUUAAAAAGACAGUGUAGAAACUGCUUAGGCAGUUUGAUUAUGGACUAUUAGAUGAUACUUGGGUCUGAUAAUGGUAUAAGGAGAAUAAAGUAUUUAGGGAUCCAAUAUUACGCCUGCAGCUUUUUCCAAAUAGUUCAUGGGGGAGGGGGAUGUGUAAGUGGUUAACUGAAGUCUAACUAGAUAGGUUUGUUGUAAGCUUAGGAUGUUUACAGUUCUUCAUGUUAAGUUGAGCGUGAUGGGAAGGGAAAGAAUGCUGAUCUUUAAAUUUUUGUCCUUAGUUAAGUUCUGUAUUUAGUGAAUUAAUUGCAUCCUAAAAAGUCAAACUUGAAAAGCACAUUUUAAAUGGCAAAUCUAUUUUUUACAUGUUUGUGAAGUUUUUAUUUUUUAGUAAACAGACCAUCAGAAGAGAACAAUGGUACAGAGCAGGGGUCAGCAGAUGGAUUUUGUAAAGCAUCAACUUGUAAAUAUUUUCAAGUUUAUUAGCUGUAUGGCUCUGGUUUCUGUUCCCUGUUCCAAAUGUUAAAGUCUACUGUUGUAUUCUAAAAGCAGCCAUGGACUGAAUGUAGCUGUGUUCCAAUAAAACUUACACAAAAGCAGGCAGUGGGCCAUAAUUUGCAACACCUGAUUCACAGCAUAAUUUUGUCACAAACUGAAAGUGUUCCUCAAUUAAAGUGAUUUUUUUUUCUUGA
rnacentral:lncRNA from 1 species